GGGGGGGGACAUGAAAAAAUUGCUUUCACGAGAGCUAGCAUAAACUGCUAAAUACCGAAUUCUCUUAUCACAUUCACAAACAGAAAUUCGAAGUCAUUUUAGAAUGAUCUAAACAGCAUUACAUGUUCUAACACGAAAUAUCUAUUCACAGACAAAUAAUGUCCAAAGUUCAAGAGAACUUGAUGCUCAAAAUAAGUUAUAAAACAGCUCGACAGGGAAUCGAACUAGCAACCUUUUGAAUACAAUACGACUUCUCUACCUCCUGCACUACUGUCACUCCAUAGUACAAUACUAGCAUAGUUCAUCCACGGCAGAAAAAGAUGACAUUAAUUUAACUUAAGAUAAUUUAACAAAUCUGGAGAGGCACUGAGAUGUAGACCUACGUUUAUUAACUAGCAUGAACCUGCCCUGACAGGACAGUGUCCUAGACUGUCUGACUAGCUAUCUUAACUGUGUUAAUUACCGGCAUGCGUGUGUUAUCGGCAAACGUUCACGUUGUCAUGCCAAUCCAUUAAUAAACUUAUGUAUACUUGUGCAUAUCGGAUUGGAACUUCGUAAAUGGAGUUUAGAAAAAAAACUUCUUCUUUACAUGUUCUUACUGCGUUCGAGAAUGAGGUAGAUCUCUUUACAUAUCGUGUAUCAUAGCUGCAGCGACAGGGGAGAGAGGAGGAAACAGUCUGACAAUCUGACCGUGUGCUACUGGGCUGAUUAACUGAAACACGGAGCUGCCUGUAGCCCUGCCCGUUGGAAACAGCAUGUGAACCAAACCACUUUGAGGAAUAGGCGGAACAUGAUUUUUCAACACUUAAAAAACACAUUUUUUACGUCUAUAAUUAGCACCGCUUGUGUCGUCGUAUUUUUAUUUAAAAAAAAAAAAUUCAAAAAAAUCUGAAUUUUUUUUUUUUCAAUGAUUGUUGGGGGGGACAACUUUAUGGUAGGGGGGGACACGUCCCCCCCGUCCCCCCUGGGAUCUCCGCCUAUGUAUGGUUGAGAGCUAUGUCCUCAGAAUGCCGUAAGAAUGAGGCGUUGUAGUCAGAGCCUGAAACUCAGGCUCGAGGCCAGGUCAAAUGCGUAUCCCCUCUUUUUGCUGUGUGUGCUCAGGUGUCAACCCUAAAACGACUGGGGCGAAAAGAUGUCUAUAUGUGUCCAUAAUUUACAGAAUUGCGUUCGUGCACGCAUGCGUAUGCAUGCAUGUGUGGUAUUUGAGGGGGAUCUCCAAGCUUUAACGCACAGUGUUAAUCAAUAGCUUAUCAGAAUACACCCCUUGACCCGUCAAUCACAUCGUCACGUUACCACUACAUAAGCCGGACUCAUCUCUGAUCAGUGUUGGUCAAAAGAAGUUGGAGCAGAAGAAUCAACAGCAGCAGUAGUUUGGUGGACCAUUUUCGGACCAGAUCAUUUGCACGUUCUUUCUUUCCGUGCGUCCAUGAGAGAAUCCACCUCAGUCUGUGAAGAUCUCUGUUACAGAUGCUGACACAGUGUAUGAGUGCAGUGCAGAUGCCAACACACCCACUCAGUACACAUGGACAAGAGAGGGUCAGCCCCUACCCAGUACUGGGGUGAGGGCAGAGGGCCACAGACUGGUGUUCCUGGAGUUCACUUCUGAGCUGAAUGGCCUGUACACCUGUGAGGUCACAACCCCCGAAGGGGCCCAAAGGGCCACAAUCACUCGCUAUGUAACGACCGUGUCAAAAGGAGGAAACAACAGAGAAGUUUGAAAGCUCUACUCCCAUACCACACCUGAGCUUUUUAAUCAAUGUGCUGAUGAAUCAUAUUUAUGAAUUAUAUCUACAAUUAUAUCUUUAUGUUCCUCCCACGGUUUUGGUUUAAAUAAAAACAUAUUUUUGCAACAAUUACUCUCGGCUCUC
ensembl:lncRNA